rnacentral:rRNA from 1 species
CCUACGGGAAGCAGCAGUGGGGAAUAUUGGACAAUGGGGGGAACCCUGAUCCAGCCAUGCCGCGUGUGUGAAGAAGGCCCUCGGGUUGUAAAGCACUUUCAGUGAGGAAGAACGCCUGGUGGUUAAUACCCAUCAGGAAAGACAUCACUCACAGAAGAAGCACCGGCUAACUCCGUGCCAGCAGCCGCGGUAAUACGGAGGGUGCGAGCGUUAAUCGGAAUUACUGGGCGUAAAGCGCGCGUAGGUGGCUUGAUAAGCCGGUUGUGAAAGCCCCGGGCUCAACCUGGGAACGGCAUCCGGAACUGUCAAGCUAGAGUGCAGGAGAGGAAGGUAGAAUUCCCGGUGUAGCGGUGAAAUGCGUAGAGAUCGGGAGGAAUACCAGUGGCGAAGGCGGCCUUCUGGACUGACACUGACACUGAGGUGCGAAAGCGUGGGUAGCAAACAGGAUUAGAUACCCGUGUAGUC